UGAUGGAAUUUCUCAUCUGGUUGAGAGGGGCAUUUUAACUUUCUUCUCUUCCCCUGCUCGUUUCAUUUCCACUCCCAUCUACCCUGCCUGCGCGCUCUCUUCUCUCCCCUCCUUUCUGAGGCUAUGCACCGGUUUCUUUGGCAUCCUGCUCGUGUGUGUGUGUGUGUGUGUGUGUGUGUGUGUGUGUGUGAGAGAGAGCCAAGGGAAGGCAGCACUCUCCUGGGACACUCCUAACUAUCUCUGUCUCUCUCUUUCACACACAUACUCUUUUGCUCUUCUUUGCGCCCAUGAGGUUCAUUCUGAAGCAUGCAGGACACUUUGCUCCAGUCUGUAGUAGGGAUGGGGCCUAAUUUGUUUGCCUUGGCUAAUGAGCUUAAUCCGGGCUGAGCAGCUUUUAGCCGGCAGGUUGUUGUAGUGGCCACUGGUUAGCUCUAACGGUUAGAGGAACCAGUUUGCCUACCAGGACCACCUCUACUUGCACCGGCACUGCGGCUGGGACGUCUCUCUCUACUGUCUCCCCUCCCUCCCUCCUCUGCCCUCUCUCUAACACUACCUGACUCCUCUCUGUCUCCCUCUCUCUGUCUCCCUCUCUCUGUCUCCCUCUCUCUGUCUCCCUCUCUCUGUCUCCCUCUCUCUGUCUCCCUCUCUCUGUCUCCCUCUCUCUGGCUCCCUCUCUCUGGCUCCCUCUCUGCUCCCUCUCUGUCCCGGAGCAUUGAACAACUACUUUUGUAGCUGUAUCACCUUUUAGGCAGCUGCUCCUCUUUCUACCCUGUCUUUCCAUCUCUUUCACUUAAUUUCUGUCUUUCCCUCUCCCCUGAAUUUAUUGCCAAAAUGUACCGGAACCCGUGGAUCUCGAAUUACCUGACUCAUGUCAAGUUUUGCAGCCAAGGGCUUGGGAGUGAGACUCCCAUUAAACUAAGCAACCCCAGAUUGCUACAGAAGAGAGCUUUGAGCUUCCAGAAAGAAUUCACCUACGACGAAAAAGACGACCCAGCUAAAAGCAAAGAUAUAGAUGUUAGUCUCUUGGCCAAUCUCCCAAAGGUGAGUAAGGGUUUUCUUUUGCUUUAUUUUCUGCCUGCUUGCAAAUUGGUCCUCACCAUGUCAACCUUUUCAGGGAUUUUGAAAGUCACUGUUGUGCAACAGC
rnacentral:lncRNA from 1 species